UACGUAGGGGGCAAGCGUUGUCCGGAAUUAUUGGGCGUAAAGAGCGCGUAGGCGGUCCGAUAAGUCGGCUGUGAAAGUCAGGGGCUCAACCCUUGAAAGCCGGCCGAUACUGUCGGACUAGAGUCCGGAAGAGGCAAGUGGAAUUCCCGGUGUAGCAGUGAAAUGCGUAGAUAUCGAGAGGAACACCAGUGGCGAAGGCGAGUCCCUGGACAACACCUGACACUGAGGCACGAAAGCUAGGGGAGCAAACAGG
rnacentral:rRNA from 1 species